GGAGGAAUGGCUGACUGGCUGAAGGCAUCGGUUUGCUAAAUCGUCAGCAUUGAAAAGUAGUGCUCACGGGUUCAAAUCCCGUUUUCUCCG
rnacentral:tRNA from 1 species